AUGACUUUGCUGUGAAAGAUGAUGUAGAGGAGAGCUGAGUGGACUCUGUUGAUAAAGCUGCAUUAUUAAGCUGAUUUAGGUAGUGCUGCCUCUGGGCAGGACUAGGCAAGCAGUUCCCCUGGGAGUAAGAGACAGACUGGCAGAAAGACACUUGGACUGCUGCUACUUGCUGAUCCCAACUAUGGUGAGCAGCCGAAAGAACCUCCAUGUGAAGUGCUAAGUGAACAAUGAAAGCCCGUAGUAAGGUCCCUGCUGGCUGGAUAUGGUUCAUGCUCAUCACACAGAUAAUUGCUCCCUUGGGGGUGAGAACCAGAGAGGGAGAGAGAGACUGAUAAUUUGAGAGGACAUGGAUACAAAUAUCAGUGCUGAGCGCCCAAUGAAUUCAAUGGGACUUGGAGAUGCUCAGCACCUUGCAGAAUUGGGCCGAUUAUAUCCUUUUCCUGCUUAAAAGAGACUUCAAGUAUCAAACCAACCAACCCGAACCCAGCCCGAUCUAAACGCUGCAGAGACUGGUUGUGUUUGUGAGAAGCACGCAUUGGUUUAUUUUUUACACCAUGGAAAGAAUGAGCUUUUAGAACACAAAGUCCUUGCUGGCUGGAGGAAGGGAGGUGACAGCAUUGGCUCCAUGCUGCCGGGUAUGACAGACAGACCCAGGUUGAGGAAUGAGCCUAGUGCGGUGCUCCAGGCCAGCUGAGAUGAUAUAGAACAGCAGAGGGGGGCCCCAAGAAGGGAAAAGGUGUUUCUCAGUUGGUGCGUGUAGGGAGGGAGGAAGGAAGGAUGGGCUAGUGGUUAGAGUACAAGCCUGAGCUGUCAGAGACUUAGGUUCAACUCCAGCUUCCUUAUAGACGUUCUGUGUGACCUUGGGCCUCUGUGCAUCUCAGUUCCCCAUCUGUAAAAUGGGGAAUACUGAUUCCUUCUUCACUGGGGUGCUGGGAGGGUACAGGUGUUAGAGACUGCGAGGUACUUAACUGCUACAGCACUGGGGUCAUAGAUCUAGCACAGAUAUGCAGUUUCAAGAGCUGCAUCCCAUCACAAUGCACAGGGUGCUGAAGGGUAGGACUGAAAUAUAGCUUAUUAGAAAUGGGCAUGACUCUGGAUUACAAACCAGUUGGU